GAUGAACGCUGGCGGCGUGCCUAAUACAUGCAAGUCGAGCGAACAGACGAGGAGCUUGCUCCUUCGACGUUAGCGGCGGACGGGUGAGUAACACGUAGGUAACCUACCUAUAAGACUGGGAUAACUUCGGGAAACCGGAGCUAAUACCGGAUAAUAUUUCGAACCGCAUGGUUCGAUAGUGAAAGAUGGCUUUGCUAUCACUUAUAGAUGGACCUGCGCCGUAUUAGCUAGUUGGUAAGGUAACGGCUUACCAAGGCAACGAUACGUAGCCGACCUGAGAGGGUGAUCGGGCACACUGGAACUGAGACACGGUCCAGACUCCUACGGGAGGCAGCAGUAGGGAAUCUUCCGCAAGGGGCGAAAGCCUGACGGAGCAACGCCGCGUGAGUGAUGAAGGUCUUCGGAUCGUAAAACUCUGUUAUUAGGGAAGAACAAACGUGUAAGUAACUGUGCACGUCUUGACGGUACCUAAUCAGAAAGCCACGGCUAACUACGUG
rnacentral:rRNA from 1 species